AGGUGAAUAACACUGGUAGAGGUCAAUGCUUGGGAAAUUUUUUUUUUUAAGGAAGUCUAGGCGAUGGCCCUAGAAGUGCUCAAGUCCACCAUCUUUGCAGUCCCUUGACUUAACAAUCAUUAAAGAUCUCUUGACAGUAUUGAGGAUGGAGAUACAUGAGAAUGAACAGACAAGACUUGUUAUUACUCCAAAGGGCAGCUUAUGUUUCAUUUAGCAUUUAUUCAAGAGAGUUCCAAAAAAAACCCCUGAGCAAUAAUAAUAAAGGUGAUCACUCCUUGAUGCUAUAUUAUCUGGAAUUCAUUUCUAAGCGUCACAGGAGUGAGAUUUCAAGUGGUUUGCACAUUUACAUAUCUUGAAUCAUUGUACAUUAGAAAAGCAGGAAACUGUUAUUUGUCCUAUUAUGACUACUUUUGUAUUAGGCUUCGAAAUCUUCUCAGUUUUCACAUAAUCUUGGAAAGAAAAACAAUCCUUCAGAUACUAUUCAUUGUCUGAUAAAAUAUGUAUGUGAUUCAUGAUGGAUGCAUCAGAUGAAACAAUUAGGUUACCAGUGCCUACAGCAGAAAAAAUAUUUGUUAACAUUUUACUUAUACCAAACUUAUACGGGUAUUUUGAUUCUAUACACUGACUAGUAUUUGCUUUUCAUUUGGUU
rnacentral:lncRNA from 1 species